UACGUAGGGUGCGAGCGUUAAUCGGAAUUACUGGGCGUAAAGCGUGCGCAGGCGGUAAUGUAAGACAGAUGUGAAAAUCCCCGGGCUUAACCCGGAAAGGUCAGCCGAUACUGCGGGGCUAGAGUGCAGAAGGGGCAACUGGAAUUCUCGGUGUAGCGGUGAAAUGCGUAGAUAUCGAGAGGAACACCUGCGGCGAAGGCGGGUUGCUGGGCUGACACUGACGCUGAACUGCGAAAGCUAGGGGAGCGAACGGG
rnacentral:rRNA from 1 species